AUUGAACGCUGGCGGCAGGCCUAACACAUGCAAGUCGAGCGGAUGAAGGGAGCUUGCUCCUGGAUUCAGCGGCGGACGGUUGAGUAAUGCCUAGGAAUCUGCCUGGUAGUGGGGGAUAACGUCCGGAAACGGGCGCUAAUACCGCAUACGUCCUGAGGGAGAAAGUGGGGGAUCUUCGGACCUCACGCUAUCAGAUGAGCCUAGGUCGGAUUAGCUAGUUGGUGGGGUAAAGGCCUACCAAGGCGACGAUCCGUAACUGGUCUGAGAGGAUGAUCAGUCACUCUGGAACUGAGACACGGUCCAGACUCCUACGGGAGGCAGCAGUGGGGAAUAUUGGACAAUGGGCGAAAGCCUGAUCCAGCCAUGCCGCGUGUGUGAAGAAGGUCUUCGGAUUGUAAAGCACUUUAAGUUGGGAGGAAGGGCAGUAAGUUAAUACCUUGCUGUUUUGACGUUACCAACAGAAUAAGCACCGGCUAACUUCGUG
rnacentral:rRNA from 1 species